AUGGGAGACAGUGAAACAGUACUAUCUGAAACAUCUGCAGAGAUGGGUUAUUCAUCUGGGAGCCACACUUCCACGGGCUAUGUUGAGGCCAGCUCAAAUGUUGCUCCUGACACUGGUGCUCCCCCCUCUGAGGCUACUGGAGGUUUUGCUGCUGCUGCUGCUGCUCCAGCUGAUGCAAAUUCUACUGUUCCUGGUGGAUCUGAUUCAGGAGAUGGGAAUAUAAAUAGUACAGAACCUAAUCUGGUCAUGCAAGAAGCUCAAGUUGAUACAACAUUUGAGACUAAACCAGAUGUUGGAGUUGCUAAUACUAUUGAGAAAGCUACUGGUCUGGAAAAUGCAGCGGCAGAGCUUUCACAAUCAGCUGGUAAUAAUUCUUCUGUGAAUGGAAGUGUUGUUGAAGCUGGAUAUCUGGCAGUGGAGAAUGGAAUUGCUUCAGAGAAUGUGGGGAGAGUUGCUGAUGAGCAACAGUUUGAUGGUUUUGGUAUGUUUUUUUUUUCUCUGCAAUUUUUGUUAUAUUAAUAUGAUACGGGCAAGGAGGUUGUGAUUUUUUUAUUUGGGUGUUUUAAGAUUGUAUAUUGCAUAGUGUUAUCUUCAUGUUAACUCAUGAGCACAUAAUGUACAUAAUUUGAGAAUCAGUAAAUGGUUGUUGAUUUGCUAGAGGAAACUGAUUCCUGCAAAUUCAUAGAAACUAUUUAUAAAAUCUUAUUUAAUUGAAAUAGAAUUUUCUUUUUCAAUGGACACAGGCACUUUAUUUAAUUUAAUUUUUUCCUUGUUAGUUCUAAAUUAGCUAAUGCAGGCAGGUCUACAUAGAAUUGAAACCUUUAUUCAGUAACUGCCUAAGAUAUUUAUACAUUUGUACAUACACGUACAAUCAUAAUUGGGAACAGCUCAAGUUAGUUUAGUUUUUUGUUUUAAAAAAAAAAAAAAAAAUUAAAAACAAUAAACUCUAAUUUUAUUUAAAAAAAAAUUUGGGUAAGGCUUACUAUCAGUAUCUUCUCAAUGAUCUUUUUCAUCUUUAAUUGCACAUCAAUCUGGAUUACGUGAAAGUGGAAAGUAUCCUCUUACUUUGAUAGGGUUUUUUUUCAGCCUGUUUUUGUGCAUGUGCCUAUGUGAAGCAUUUUGAUUGUUUGACUCUUUUGUCCUAGCUUUUAUUCAUAUUUAAUACUAUUAAUACUAUUAGUUGGUAAUAUAUAUAUAUAUAUAUAAAUUCAAGUUUUGGUUGUAGAGGACCAUAGUUUUAAAUUCAGUAUAAUCCAAGUGUUGGUUGUAUAGCAUCAUAGGUGUUGAUUUGCAUUUGUAUAUGGCAUUCUUAAUUUGGUAUCUAUAGAUAUUUCAUACUUGUAAAGCUGGUACAUGACAUUCUUAAUUGUUAAUUCACUGUUCAUAGAUAUUUAAGAAGCAAAAUGAAGUAUGCAGUAUACAGGAAGCAUACUACAGGAAAAAAAUAGUUUUUUUUUUUUUUUUUCAAAAUUUUUGGUAGUGAGAGAAAUGUCCAUAUUAAUUUUUUUUUAGAUUGGUAAGUUACACAUGCACCCAAUGUUUCUUGAACCCACAACUUUAUCCUCCACCCCCUUCCCCUUCCCCUUGGAGUUGUCAUUUGACCUAGAGCUAAUUGGAUUGUAAAUAUUAGGUGUCUUAUGUUCCGUUGGAAAAUUUGUCAACUUUCAAGCAUAUUUGCAUUCUCAUGUUAGGGCUUUCUCGUUUUGAAUCAUAAUAUAGAAGUAUUAUCUUGUACAUUUAGGGUCUGUUUGGAUAUUGCUCAUUUUGCUGAAACUAAAAAUUUAUUGCUGAAAGUGCUGUAGAUAAAUGUAAAAGUUAGCUGAAAUAAUGCAGUGGAAUAGUACCAAAAAGUGUAGUGGGAUUAAUGAAUAGUAGCAAAAAUAAGCUAAAUAGUGAAAUAAUUUUCAUUUUUCAUUGGUAUCCAAACGGAGGCUUAGUUGGAAAUCAAAAAGUUACUUGUGAGUUAUCUUGCUGUAGAAUGCCAUGGAAGUGCAUUGUAGUUUGCUUAUCCAAUUAUAGUUAUGGGCCUUGAUAAGCCUGAAGCGUAAUAAUUGGGGUUUCAACUCCCUUUUCGGUUUCAUGUUGGCCCUUAUUUCUAGUUAGUCAUAUACUAACAUGAAUUCCUUGGCUUUUAGAACAAAGUUGCUUACUUUUAGGAUUUGUGUAUAUGAGCCAUGAUUGUAGAUGAAAUGGGUUGUGCCUUCAUUCGAUUAUUCUUCGAAAUAAUUUGAUUUCAAUGCUGGGUCAACUUGGAACUUCUCUAGAGAAUCUUCUAUUUGGUUUAGUUUUUGUUUGAAAUAGAAAAACAUUUGAGUUUCUAAAACAAGAGUAUUACAUUUUUUUAAUUGAUUUUCAAGAGCAUCUUGAUUGGUCGAGUUAAGGCAUUCCUAGCAAGUUUGCUAGCAUAGUUUUCAAGUGCACUAGUCUCUAAGAAUAUAUAUGUUUUUCCAUAUAAUUUUUGUAAGUGUGUAUUUCAUGGGAGUUGAAGAAGUAUACUAAGUUAAUUUCUAUAUAUAUAUUUUGAUGUGUGGUGCAUUUCUCAUUGGUAUGCUGCCUAGGCUCCCACUUAUGACUAGAAUUAUUUAUUGGGUAAAUUACAAUUUAACGGUUUGGCCAUUUCAAAAUUUUAUCGUUACAUUUAACUCCCUAAGUUUGGAUCCAAAUGAAACUGUAGGAGUUUUGUCAAAAUUAACAGAUUUUGUAUUUUUUGGACAAAUUUACCCCUUGAUUUACUCUCACUUGUUAUUCUUCUUCCUUCAAUAUCUAAUCCAAAAGGAGAAUCAAAAUUUAAUCAUCAGAAAAAUUCAAUUAACCCAGUACUCCUGGUGAACUAUCAACCCCUACUUUCUUUUUAUGAGUUGCAUGAAAAGCACAAUCUGAAGAAAAAAUCGCAACAAAUACAAAGUAUAAAAAUAUGAAUUUUCUUAGCCAUAACCUAAUCAAAAUCCUUGAGAAUUGAGAGUAAACUGAACAAUUUGAACAAAAUUGUUAAGAAUCAAAACAAUUUAACCUCAGAAAUUGCAUCACACCUAGCUGGUUGAGCUGGUUUACAUCCGAGGGCCAAGGCCAUAAUCAGCUCCCCCCCUCCCCAUGAGAUCCUCACAUCAAAAAUCAUAAUUCAUGUCAAAAGAACAUGGCCCAAAAGCUAAAUUCCAACAUAAAAAAUUUGAAGGGACAGAUUAAGAAUUUUGUUCCCCAAUAAAUGAAUUGAAAGUUAACACACACACACACACACACACAUAACCUCAAACACUGAAUUUUAUAGAAAAAUCUGAGAAACAGUUUCACAAAUUGGGAAAUUUUGCAUAAAUAUAAGACCAAACACAACUAAUGAGAAGGUUAGAGGCAACAAAUUUUGGCAGAGUCAAAUGCCAGAAGACGCGAUAACCUUUUACUAAAAUCUUUAAGCAUCAGUAGGAGAAGCUUUGGGAAUAUUCAAUUCCCUCAAAUUUCUUGUAAUUGAAAUGCCAUAGACUGGUACUAGCCUAAUAGCAAUCAGGAAAUUGAAAUUCAGAGCUCAGAUUGAGCAGAAAAGAAGAGAGGGGAAAAGGAGAGGAUGGCCAUGGCCUUUGAUCUUCCUAGCCACGACAGCAUCUUCAUCUUCUUCCACACUUGGUUCAUCUCCUUUUUUUUUUUUUUUUUUUUUUUUUUUUUUUUUUUUUUUUUUUUAAUUUUUUAAUUUUAUUAUUAUUUGCUUAUGUUGUUUUUACCACUCUUUCCUGAGGAAAAUUGGAGUUUGGAAUGUUGUUGGUUCUGUUUGGGGUAUUUUGUUAAAGCUAAUCCCAUAAAAUUGCUCACGUCCCAUGUGCAAAAAAAAAGGUUGAAUUUGGAUGGAUCUCUAACAAUUUCAUUUUAGACCAAAAUUUAGAGGGUUAAAAUGUAGCAAUUGAAACUUAAUGGACUAUCGUGAAAGGGAUAAACCACAAGGGCCUAUAUUAUAAUUUACCUUUUUGUCUUUUUCUCUCUCUUUCCAUCUGCUAUACAUUAUUCACCCUAAAUAGUAAAUAUCACCAGAGCCUAACCUUUUCUUGCAAACUAUCCUAUUCUUUUUUCCUAAGCUUCAAAAUUCUUAUUCCCGCCAGUUUGGUCUGAAAUUAAAAGGUCCUGCAUCUGAUAUUUUAUUAAAUCUACCUUACUGCUCUAAUUUACUUUGUACAUUUCCUAGAUAUUAAAUACUACUAUUUACCUCAAAUACACAUAAAUUUGACUAAUAUAUAAACAUGUUGAAAAUUUUGUACACCACAGAAUGUUUCUACAUCCAACACCCUUUUUGAUGUCCCCCUUCCCUUUGCUAGUUGAAAUUUACUAUUUACUGAUGUAAUUCUUCUUACUAUGUAAUUUUGUACACCACUCCCAUAUAUAAAUUUUGAUGUGUCCCUUCCCUCUGCUCUAAUUUACCUCAAAUACACAUAAAUUGGACUAAUAUAUAAACAUGUUGAAAAUUUUGUACGCCACUCCCAUCUGUCAAUGUUUCUACAUCUGACGCCCUUUUUGAUCUGUCCCUUCCCUUUGCUAGUUUUAUUCUUCUUAUUCUUGCACUCUUCUAUUAGCAGAUCUAAGUGAAUAACAUCUUGGUUGUUUCAAAUCCUUUUCCUUUUUAUUUGUAGUACCGGCUAUGUCUGCUGAAGAAGAUAGACUGUGGAACAUUGUGAGGGCUAAUUCAUUAGAUUUUAAUGCUUGGACUUCCCUGAUUGAAGAGACUGAGAAGGUGGCUCAGGUAUGUCAGCAUUAAUUUCAAAUGUAUGACGAAUUAUUCAGUUAAUUUUGCCAUCCUCUGUGUGUUUUUAUAUUUGUUAUUUUACCGUGAGGAAGCUUAUCAACAAAUCAGCAUGUUCUUGUCAAAUUUACAUGUUAGUUUUGCAAGAUGUUGUGCAAUUUGAAAGGCACGCGUUGAAUCUGUCUGACAUGAUACAUGGAUUUCUUCUUGUUGAUUAAUCUACGUAUCUAAUAACAAUAUCACCUGAGAUACACAUUAUGUCACGUAUAUGCAUUUUUGUGUGCGUCUAUAUAUAUAUAUAUAUACACACACACAUAUGCAAGUAGUUAUGUAAAUUAUUGCUUUCUGAAACACCCUAGUAUAUUAAUGUACUUAUAUGUUAGUACGUUUUGUCCCCCCUCGGUUUUUUUAUUAUUUUUAUUCUGUUUUGAUAAAUAAUAGAAAAUUAGCAUACAAAGAAAAUGCCCAAAAAAAUAAAAUAGAAGACAUUGUACAAACAGAUACAAAGAUGACUAAUGAAAGUUCAAUGAAUUCAAGAACCCUAGAAAGUCCAUAGUUAAAAAUGUGGUGGAGGUUGAAGUCUAGUCCUAAAGGGUCUUCAAAAAUAAGAACUUCAAAUUAAUCAAGUUUUGUUCUUUCCCUUCAAAGCAAUGAUCACUUCUUUCCCUCUAAAGAUACCACAUCAAGCAUGAAGGAGCUUUUUUCCAAAUCCUCCCAUUACUUCUCUUAGCAAAGUGUCCUUUCAAACAUGAGAGAAGCUCCAUCACAGAGUAAGGCAUUAUCCUAGAAACACUGAACAAGCAAAAAACCAAUGACCUUAGUUCUUGUGCCACUACACCACUGAAGGAAGAGGUGAACCACACUCUUUCCUUGUCAUUUACUCAUAAGGCACCAGUCCAUAAUAAUUAUCCCUUGUUUCCAAAGAAAGCCACCCUUGGCGGCACACUAGCAUUCCAAAUGCUCUUGAAGGAAAAUUACUUCCUCGGCCUCUCCAAAACUUGUAAUGACUUUUCACUUGGAAACCUUGAGUUUUACAAGGGACCCAUAUUAAUUUGUUUACCUCCCCCAAUGACAAAUCUUUUUAAUAUAUAUGUCAUAUAAUAAUUGUUUCAUUGAUCUCUCUAUAUACAUGGCAUUUGAAAGGGGGUGGCACUUUUGCAGAUAGAAGCUAUAAGUUUGUGACAAGUUCCAUCACAGUCCAAAGGCCCCAAACUAAUUUUUUUAGUGUUUCUUGAUUAAUUGUAUUUUAAAUUCUCAAGAAUAGAAACUGUUAAGAACCCUAUUUACUGGGGUUUCUUCUUUUACUAAUAAUUUUUUACAACUUACCAAUUUUUUUUUUUAAUUAUGAAUGAUAGCUUUAAAAAAUACAAAUCCAUAGGAUCUAGCACUAGUGGUGGAGCCAGGAUUUGGGGUAUGUGUAGUAAAUUUGUAAAACUAAGGUUGACUAAACAUUUAUAUUUUAAAGAAUAUUUCAUUUCCAUUUUCUAAGCUGUAGGAAAAUGUGUAAAUAUAGUAAUAUGACAUCAUAAUUUACAAUAAACAAUCACAUAGGUUUAAAUUGCCCCUCCCUCACUUGUUGUAAGUAACUGAAAGAAAGCUUUUAUUUGUAACAAAAUUCACAAUAAAAAAAUCCACUCAUUAAGUACACAGUUUUUGAUUAUUAAACAUAUUCAAAGAAUAUAUUAAUUCCAAUAUAUUUAGAGAAACUAAAGUAAGUCUUAAUCUCUAUUAACUUUUAAACAGUAACAUGUAUCUUUUUCCAGUUAGGUAGAGUUUAUGGAUGUGAUAUUUUUUUUUUCAUAUAUGCUCUGUAUUAUGAUUUUAAUACAUAACUUAGAAUAUAAAGUGCAAGCCCCACAAAUUAGGUUGAAUGCAAGACACUUGUCUUUUGAUUUUCCCCUUUGUUUUCUGGGGGGCAUGUAUAGGAAAGUAGACAACCUUAAAGAUCAAUUAGAUACAUUUUAGGGAGUUCGGGGGCAUCCCCCCUCUUGCCUAUGAUCAUACAAGCAAAACUAUUAAUGGGAUAAAGGAAAAAUACAUGUUUAUCAAUUUUUUUUUUUUUUUACUUAUAAAAAUAAAAUAAAGGAAAAAUACAUUUGAUCGAAAAAGAAAAAUGAAAAUCGCUUUUAUGUACAAGAUAAUAAGAAUCAGGUUAUGCUGUAGUAACUUUAUUAUGCUUGCAAAGGGGAGGUUGGGUGAUUUUUAUUGGGGAGACUGGAUAUGUUGCUGCCCUGCCAGUCUUAUUCGAAAUUGUUUCAAUAUUGCAAAACUUGGAUUUGCUUUUGUGAAUGACUGCUUUGAGGGGGUUGGGCUUCGAAAUAAUCACUUUGAGGGUGAUUAGCCUCUGAAGAACUUAGGAAUUUUAUUCAAAGUUAAUAAAAGCCAUGCAUCUACCAAUGAGUGCUAGCUCAACUGACACCUCCUCCCCCGCUUAUAAGUUCUAGGUGGAGGGUGAUGUUAUGGGUUCAACACCCAUUAUGUGCAUGUGUAACUUACCAAUAAAAAAUAACCAUAUGUGCAUGUGUAACUUGCCAAUAAAAAAUAACCAUAUGUCAUCUAUGCCUUUAUAUAGUACUCAAAAACCUUAAUCCACAAGGAACUAAAAUUACUCCUAGAAUAUUAUAGACCGUUGACCCAAACCAAAUAGGCAAAUUACAACUAAGAAAAUAAAAAAUAAUGCCAAGAGCCUUGUAGCUCAAUGGCAUUGCCUAGUCUCCUUGAUGAGGAGAACCAAGGUUUGAAUCCCCCCUCGCCUCACUUGUUGUAACAAGUGAAUUAUAAAAUAGAAAAGAACAGAAAAUAAAUAAAAAUAAGUAAUAUAGUGGUGGCAAUAAUUCUGGAACUGUAUUGGUGCCUUGUGGAUGGGUUAGAGACAUGGCUUCUCAUAUGUUUGCUUUCUACAUUCCUACCCUUUGAUUACGUAACUGGUGUUAAUAUCUAUUUUCUAGUUUUUUUGUCUCUACACUUUGAAAAGCUGGCCCUGGUGAAACUAAUGAUUCAUCUAUGCCCCUCAUGCAGGAGAACAUAUUGAAAAUCCGAAAAGUUUAUGAUGCUUUUUUGGCAGAAUUUCCUUUGUGUUAUGGUUAUUGGAAAAAGUAUGCUGAUCAUGAGGCUCAUCUAGGCUCUAUUGAUAAAGUUGUGGAAGUUUAUGAACGGGCGGUUCAAGGUGUGACCUAUUCGGUGGACAUUUGGUUGCAUUAUUGCAUAUUUGCUAUUGGCGCAUAUCAAGAUCCAGACACCAUCCGAAGGUAAUAGACGUUGAUUUAGCUCCUUUUUGUUAGACAGUGUUGGGAGAUCAUGAUUGCAUGGUUCCCUCAGUCACAAGGCUAUAGUGAUUUCUUGUUGCUAACAUUAUUUCCACAUGCCUGCUACAGUGGUUCUUCACAUUUAUGGCGGAAAGGUUUGAUAGGAUGCACUUCAGAAAAGUUAUUUUUUUUUUCUGAUGUGCAAACCCUUGAUUUGAUGCUACUAUACAGGGUAGUUGUUUGAAAUUUGUUAGGAUCUUAUUCAAUUUCUUUGCCUCAUUAUACCCCUUUUUUUCCCAAAGCCUGUGUCAUAGUCAUGUAGUUAUCUUUGAAUUUUAGCUAUCUUUAACUUUGACACUCUGAGGUGCAUCAAUAUGCAAAUUGCUGCUGGGAAGAUCUCGUCAGUUUAAGGGCUAAGAUGGCCUCUAUCACUGCUCCAUUUCACGGACAUAGUAUGGUUUUUUUGAGGAAGGUAAAUGCAGCGUUUGGAAGUGAUAUGCUGUUAACAGUGAAUUGUUUCUUCUCCAUGACAUUAGUGCCAGUCAGCCAUUAAUGGAUAUUCUUGCAUUACCUGAGUUGAUGUUUAUACAUAUAGGAUAACGAAACCUUCUAUUUUUAUGGUAUUUCAGGCUUUUUGAGCGAGGAUUAGCUUAUGUUGGAACGGAUUAUCUGUCUUUCACCCUUUGGGAUAAAUAUAUUGAAUACGAAUACUUGCAGCAGGAGUGGGGCCGCCUUGCUUUGAUUUACACCAGGAUUUUGGAGUAUCCAAAUCAACAAUUGGAUCGGUAUUUUAACAGGUGAUUCCUUGUACAUUGCCCAUAUGUUUAUUUGUUUACCUUUCGGUCUUUUGUUUUGGGCUUGAGUUUCUCAAGUUUGCUCUAUGUUUCUUGCUCUAUUUUUCCUGCUCUAUGUUUCCCACAAAUGUCUUGCUUUUGUCCAGUAUUGCAUUGAGGAGCAUAUUUGGGUGGCUGAAUGUGUUUGUAGUGGGGUUUGGAAAUCUUUUUGUGGUUGGAGAGACCAGUGUUUUUCUCACUCCCUAAUUGCGGUCAAUGAGGAUUUAGCUUAUUUUUAUUGACUUUUGAAAGAACAUUUUGGUGCCAAACUUGAUAUGCUUGGAUUUAUGACUAUAAUUUGCACUUUACUGGUUUUGAUCUUCAGUUUAUAUGCUUUAAUUUUGAACUGCUUCAAAGAGUCCCUGUUUUCCUCAAUAUUUCAAAUUUGUUUCUAGUUGCUGUGAAUUUUGUGUCCCUGGUCAUAGAUUCCAAUACCUCUUUGUGCUUCCGCAUGCCUUAUUUAUUGACAUAGGGUUUAGUGCACCUCUUCUCUGUUAUUUGCAUAAUAGAUUCCUUUUUGAAGGUUUUUUUUUUUUUUUUUUUAAUAAGUAAUUUUUUUUUUUUUUUUUUUUUUUAAUUAGUAAUUUUUCCUUUGAAGUUUUAUUUAUGUCCCUUGUGCCAAUGUUGCUACAGCUUCAAGGACUUAGCUGGAAGUCGGCCUUUGUCUGAAUUAAGGACUGCUGAGGAGGCUGCAGCAGCAGCAGCAGCAAGUGCACCUUCGGAGGCUAGUGUCCAGUUAAAUGAGGGAGAGGUUCAUCCUGAUGCAGUGGAACAAUCUCCUAAACCUGUAAGUGCUGGCUUAACAGAAGCAGAGGAGUUGCAGAAGUAUAUCGCCAUUAGAGAAGAGAUGUAUAGGAAAGCUAAAGAGUUCGAUUCUAAGAUCAUUGGUUUUGAAACAGCUAUUAGGAGGCCCUACUUUCAUGUGCGGCCCCUCAAUGUUGCAGAGCUUGAAAAUUGGCAUGCCUAUUUGGAUUUUGUGGAAAGGGAAGGUGACUUUAACAAGGUAUUUUGAGUUUGCUUGUUUUCAGUUUCUCUGGUUUGUAGUUUUUAGUUGCCCUCCUUGUUACACUUUGACUCACAGUUAAGUAAUAUUUGCUGCCCCAUAUUCUUUAUUGGCUAAACCGUUGGAUGAAGCAACUUUUUAAACGGGAAAUUGAACUGAGACUAAGCAUGGACCUUCGAUUUGGUUUCUUUAAGGCUAAGUACUUCAAACCCUCAUUUGUCAGUGGACGUUCCAGGUUGAUGAUGUGUUAGUAAAUUAUAUCUGUUUUAAAGUUCCAAUGUUAUGCAUGCAGGUGUCUUCUUAUCUUCCUAACCAUCUGUCUGUCAGGCAAGGAGGGUCCCUCCUUUCGUAUUUGAGGGGCCUCUCUGUUCCGCUAACGGAGUAUUUCUUAUGCAUAUCUCCUUCUCCUUUGUGAUUUGUAUUACCUUUUUAAUUAAUUUAAGGUGAAUAUGAUUGUAUGAGGUGAUGCCAUUUCUUUUAAAAAUGUGAAUCAGGUGGUCAAGUUAUAUGAAAGAUGCCUGA
rnacentral:sRNA from 1 species